CCCUCACCUGGCGGCCGCCGCCACCUGGUUGCUGGCUUAAGCUUUGGGGGGGUCAAAGCAGAACCCGCCAGCCACCCCUGGCUUUUUCAGUCCACGAGCAACGAACCCCCAAAUUGAGUUUUCCCCGCCGGGGCUUUUGGGAAGAGGCAUCUGAAGGGAGUGAGGAUCACCCUGCUAGCUUCCCUUUGAGUCUUCUCUAAGAAUAACAGAGUUGGAAGGGAGCUUGCUGUAGGCUGGGACUACAACUCCCAUGAUCACUUGCUUCAACCAUGAUGUUUUGCGUUCAUAAAUUGUUCAACACAUCUGGAAUAAGCCAGCCUAAGAGCUUUGGAAGUUAAUGUGAAAUUGGAUCAGUUUAUAAUGUCCAACUUCUAAAUAUGUUGGAUAACAAUUCUCAGAUCUGCUGGUGUCAGCUGUUACAAUCCCAGAGAGGCUGUUUCAAUCCUUACACAUUCCAGGAGUUCCCAAGUUUUGUGUUCCGGUCAAAUGACACGCACGAAGGAAUGACUCAAUGUCUGUCAGGAAGCAAGAGGAAAAUUAAAGUUUUCCUGUCUCGCGACACAUGAGUCAGCUUGUUGGCCACAGCAGUUCUCCGACAGCCGGAAAUCCACCAUUACAGAACAUUGUGGCCUCCAGUAAUUGAAUAAUUGACAAUCACAUGGUAUCUUAUUAAACCUGAAGGACGGAAACAAGUACUUACAAAAGGAUCUGUUCUCAGCAUUGAAAUGCAGUUAUCUCCAGGAGAAAUGGAACAGACCUGGACCAACAGGAUAGAACUGGAUCGUGAUCUUGUGCAAGAAUGUUUAAGGAUCGAUCCUGAAGAAGGGUUUUAAUAUUGGGUUAAUUGAUUCAACAGGGAUGCAAGGAUUACCGAAGGGGGUCAGAAUCAGGAUGAAACCAAAUUCUCAAAUGAUUACAAGCAAGUAUUCUCUUAAGCCAAUUUCUGCGUACAAAAAUACAGCGUAUGGCUCAUCUUUAUUAAUCGUUUUAAUGUUUACCACUUUUUAAUGUUUGUAAGCUGCCCAGAGACACCUCUAGAUGACAUGGGCAGCAUAUAAAUCUAAUAAACAGAUGGGGGUAAUGAAAAACUUACACUACAAAGGCAAGAACUGCUAAGUGGAAGGUCUAGAAUAUUCAAUUGCAACAUCUAUAAUUAUACCAGCAACUAAGGCCAUAAUCUUUCUUCUGUAUGAACAGUUGGACAAUGGGCACCACUGAUUUAUGUAAUCCUGUUGAGGUUAAUAUCCCAGCCAGCUUGACUCUUGCUGAGAGAUCUAGGAAUUGAAAUUGAUACAUUUGGAAGUUGGGAAUGUAGAUGACCAGGCUGAGCCAGCUCACCUUAAACACCUCUCUUAUCACCCUUUUCCGUUAAUAGUUCAGAUUCUUAUAGAGAGCUUAAGCUUACAAUAAAUCUUUAUACACAUUUGGAACUGCAUGGAUCUCUUGAUUUCCCUGGUCCUUGACAGGGAAACUAUCAACGCUUAUUCUGUUUUCUCCGAUAACUUGUGUCAAAAAAAAAAAAUCUGGAUUGUUUUUCCCUCUUCCUUUUUAGAACCUGCUCUCCCUCUUCCAGACUUACUGUAAAAUGCAUCCAUCUUUCUGUAGGCGUUUUACCUCAUUCCUUAGUUGCAUCCAUUUUACACAAUCAGCGUAAAGAUGAGAGAUUAUUUGUACAUCCACAUUCCCAUCUUUCUGUAUUUGCAUAGACAAAGGUCUGCCCAGGUUACAAUCUCAAUUAUUUGCACUUCACACAUUAAAAAGGCCAGUGAAGGUCAAUUUUUGCAUUCGGUGAAGGCAGACCUCUUUUAGCAACCAUCUGCAAUUACAACACUGAUGAAAAAAAGUUAACUUUGUGACCAGUUCUCAUACUUAGAACUUUUGCAGGUCUGUAAAGCAAAGAACAGCUGAAGUAACAUCGUAAGCAACUAGUGUCACAAGCCGCUUGUCCCAAUUGUGGCGGCUAAACAAGGACUGCCUGUACUUCAUGGGAAUUUCAGUGAUGUAAGUAAGUAGAAUGGCAACAUCAGACUCUUAAUGAGACUCUGUUCCUUGUAUUCUUACAUGUGAGAUUUUAAAAACAAAUGAGCCUAAUAAAUGCCAACAUUUCUACACUGGUUUUUACUCAGAACAUUUAUAAAAACCUUUUACAGGAAAAAUGUAUGCUGAAAUUUACAAAAUUAGCCCUGGGAGUCUCUCUGAAGGACAAACUGAAUUUAAAGCAAUCUCUUUGGCGUAGCAUUUCCUGCAUGACAUGAAACCAAUACAAUUAUUUUGAGAAUUGACUGAAAACAUCUUUAUUAUUCAGCUCUAUGUCCGCCCCCGCCUUGCAAUUACAACCACACAACUAAAAUAUAUUUUUGUAAUCUGGGAUUAGUCCAAGUACAGUCAACAAAAAAAAAUAGGACAGGCAUACAAAGUCUGUACACAAACUCAACAUGGGGUACACAAUCUGCAAUGAAGUUAGACAUCAUACAAAAUAAAAAAA